rnacentral:rRNA from 1 species
AUUGAACGCUGGCGGCAUGCUUUACACAUGCAAGUCGAACGGUAACAGGCCGCAAGGUGCUGACGAGUGGCGAACGGGUGAGUAAUGCAUCGGAACGUGCCCAGUCGUGGGGGAUAACUACUCGAAAGAGUAGCUAAUACCGCAUACGAUCUAUGGAUGAAAGCGGGGGACCGUAAGGCCUCGCGCGAUUGGAGCGGCCGAUGUCAGAUUAGGUAGUUGGUGGGGUAAAGGCUCACCAAGCCAACGAUCUGUAGCUGGUCUGAGAGGACGACCAGCCACACUGGGACUGAGACACGCCCCAGACUCCUACGGGAGGCAGCAGUGGGGAAUUUUGGACAAUGGGCGCAAGCCUGAUCCAGCAAUGCCGCGUGCAGGAAGAAGGCCUUCGGGUUGUAAACUGCUUUUGUACGGAACGAAACGGCUCUGGUUAAUACCCGGGGCUAAUGACGGUACCGUAAGAAUAAGCACCGGCUAACUACGUG